AUGGGUCACCACGUGGCACAGCUGGCUCUGUCCAUCAGUGACCCAGACCAGGACAUCAGCCAGCAGGCCAGGGAGGGGGUUUACCGGCUCUACCAGCUCCUGCUGCGCCAGAGGGACCUGAACAUCCAUGAGGUCGAAGACCUUUGGUGCUGGGACUGGCACCAGGACAGCAGGCUCCUGGGCUACAAGAACACUGCCAGGGUAGGGGAGGUAAGGACACUCUGCCAGGGCAUGGCACAGCUCUGCAGGGCAGGUGGCUGCCUCCUGGAGCCACGCGACGGAGUUGCCGUUCUAGGCCAGGAUUUGGAGCCUGGUUCUGGGCAAUCUGCUGAAGCCUCACAUCUGGUUGGUUUCAGGUCUUUGGCAAAUUCUUCUCCGAGGGGCAGAGAAGAUUCUUCCUGCAGACAGCAGUGCUGGCCAUGCACGACCCCCUGCUGCGUGUCAGCCAGGCUGGGCUGCUCCUCACUUACUCCCUCCUGGGGCAAGCCCAGCAGCUGAUGGGGAACAAGCAGGAGGACGUCACGGCCAACAUAAUGAACCAACUUUACAUCAUCCGGCACUUGCGCCAAGUGCGGGAGGCGCUGCAGGAGUUCU